rnacentral:rRNA from 1 species
AGCAGCCGCGGUAAUUCCAGCUCCAAUAGCGUAUAUUAAAGUUGUUGCAGUUAAAAAGCUCGUAGUUGAAUUUCGGGGUUAGUAGGUUGGUCAUGCCACUGGUAUGUACUGGUCUCACUGAUUCCUCCUUCCUGAUGAACCGUAAUGCCAUUAAUUUGGUGUUGCGGGGAGACUGGACUGUUACUUUGAAAAAAUUAGAGUGUUUAAAGCAGGCUAACGCUUGAAUACAUUAGCAUGGAAUAAUGAAAUAGGACGUUCGAUCCUAUUUUGUUGGUUUCUAGGAUUGACGUAAUGAUUAAUAGGGAUAGUUGGGGGCAUUAGUAUUCAAUUGUCAGAGGUGAAAUUCUUGGAUUUAUUGAAGACUAACUACUGCGAAAGCAUUUGCCAAGGAUGUUUUCAUUAAUCAAGAACGAAAGUUAGGGGAUCGAAGACGAUCAGAUACCGUCGUAGUCUUAACCAUAAACUAUGCCGACUAGGGAUCGGGUGAUGUUAAUUUUAUAAUGACUCAUUCGGCGCCUUA